ensembl:ncRNA C44E12.6 ncRNA
UCUGAUAGCUGCAGCUGCAAAGAAGGGCAGUAGUGCAACAGCGGUUGGAUUGUCUGGAUAUAUGCCGGUAUGUGCAGUCCGGGCCCAUUCGGCAAACAUGGUUUGAGGACAGAAAAACUAAAUCAAUCAUAAAAAUGAGGC